AGUGAAGCGGGAUGAAGCUCAAAUUUAAAAUCUGGCUGGUUUACUAGUCCGAAUUGUAGUUUAAAGAAGCGUUUUCGGUGGCAGCCUGGGUAUAAAUCCUUUGGAAUAGGGUAUCAUAGAGGGUGAGAAUCCCGUCUUUGACUCAGUGAAUGCUACUAUGUGAUACGUUUUCAAAGAGUCGAGUUGUUUGGGAAUGCAGCUCAAAAUGGGUGGUAAAUUUCAUCUAAAGCUAAAUAUUGGCGAGAGACCGAUAGCGAACAAGUACCGUGAGGGAAAGAUGAAAAGAACUUUGAAAAGAGAGUUAAACAGUACGUGAAAUUGUUGAAAGGGAAACGUUUGACACCAGUCAUGCGGGUGGAAAAUCAGUCUUUUAGAGUAGGGAGUGGUGGGGGUUCGGACCGCAAGGCUGGCCUUUAUCUCAUCUCUGCGCUAAUGGAUGCACUUUUUCAUUUGCAGGUCAACAUCAGUUUCUUCUGCUGGACAAAACUCCGAGAGAAGGUAGCAGCUUUGGCUGUGUUAUAGCUCUGGAGCGAUACAGUGGAGGGGACUGAGGUUUUCGCAGUGUGUGCUCUCGGGCAAGGUUGAUUGGGUGCUAUGUGAUCGUUCGGUGUACAAUGCAUGCAUUUUGCGCUGUGUCUUUUGCAUACUCGCCUGACUCGACUCUUCCACGCUUAGGAUGUUGACUUAAUGGUUUUAAACGACC
rnacentral:rRNA from 2 species